UACGUAGGUGGCAAGCGUUGUCCGGAUUUACUGGGCGUAAAGAGCGCGCAGGCGGUCGUUCAAGUCGCGUGUGAAAGCCCCCGGCUCAACUGGGGAGGGUCACGCGAUACUGAUCGACUCGAAGGCAGGAGAGGGUAGUGGAAUUCCCGGUGUAGUGGUGAAAUGCGUAGAUAUCGGGAAGAACACCGGUGGCGAAGGCGGCUCGCUGGGCCGUUGCUGACGCUGAGGCGCGAAAGCGUGGGGAGCAAACAGG
rnacentral:rRNA from 1 species